rnacentral:rRNA from 1 species
UUAAGUGAGGCCGCCAGCAACCUUUUUUUUCUCUACAUUUUAAAAAAAAAACUAAAAUUCUAUCCUUAUCGGUGGAUCACUAGGCUCGUGGAUCGAUGAAGAACGCAGCAAACUGCGAUAAUUAUUGCGAACUGCAGAAGUAUUGAGCACAAAAGUUUUGAACGCAAAUGGCCGCAUUGAGGUCAAACUCUUUGCAACGUCUGGUUCAGGGUCAUUUUCUCUUAUAGCGGAAGCUUUAAUUUCUAUAAUGAUGUUGUUGC